UACGUAGGGGGCUAGCGUUGCUCGGAAUCACUGGGCGUAAAGCGCACGUAGGCGGUCUUUUAAGUCAGGGGUGAAAUCCUGGAGCUCAACUCCAGAACUGCCUUUGAUACUGGGAGACUUGGGUCCGGGAGAGGUGAGUGGAACUGCGAGUGUAGAGGUGAAAUUCGUAGAUAUUCGCAAGAACACCAGUGGCGAAGGCGGCUCACUGGCCCGGUACUGACGCUGAGGUGCGAAAGCUAGGGGAGCAAACGGG
rnacentral:rRNA from 1 species